UGCCCGACAACGGCCUGAUUCCGCCAUCCUUGGGGGAGUGGAGAUGCCGCUGGACGCCCCCGUCGCCGCAACCUCAGCCCUUUCAUCGCCGUCUUAAAAUCCUCAACGUAUAGUGGGGGAGGGGCGGAGCCAGGUUCGCUAGAGUCAGGCAAAUCUACGGGCAGGCCCAGCAGCGGUCAGGACCCCGAGGCUCGCAGGCGACUUCCGGAGGCAGCCGCCAGGCGGCGCCUGGAGCUAGAACUAAAGAGCUUGCUCUGAGCUCUCAACUGAAGAAGGGGAGAAUUUGCCUACCAGAAGUUAUUUGGCUAAGGCCCACGUGGAAGCUUAAAAAACAGGAGAGCUGAGUAUCUGCAAGAAUUAAUUUGUGCGAUUCCCUCUGAGUAGAAAAGGAACACGGUGUUAUAAGUUUUGCUGAACGAAUAGAUUUAAGGUGUCCCUUUAGCUAAGAGCAAUGUGGUCUAGUUGUGUGUAGCGAGAAAAAAGGGUAAGGUUUUUAAUGGUUUGUCCAAAGUAGCCCCACUUUUAUGUUCCACCCGAGUCUCCGUAGGAAACGCAACCAGUAGUGAAAAUGAACAGAUGUGAAAACCAGGGUGGAACCGAAUAUUCCCAUUCUCAGACCUUUUGUGAUUAAAUUUAUCUCUGAAUUGUUCCCUAUGGACUCUUCUAAAAAUGAAACGUUAUUC
ensembl:lincRNA